GGGCCGUGAGAGCGGGAGCCCGGAGAUGGGCACUGAGACAAGGGCCCAGGCCCUACGGGGCGCAGCAGUCGCGAAAACUUUGCAAUACACAAAGUGUGACAGGGCUAUCCCGAGUGCCAUCCGCUGAGGAAGGCUUUUACCCAGUCUAGAACGCUGGGGGAAUAAGGAGAGGGCAAGUCUGGUGUCAGCCGCCGCGGUAAUACCAGCUCUCCGAGUGGUGUGGAUGUUUAUUGGGCCUAAAGCAUCCGUAGCUGGCUAAGUUAGUCCCCUGUUAAAUCCAACGAAUUAAUCGUUGGAUCGCGGGGGAUACUGCUUGGCUAGGGGACGAGAGAGGCAGACGGUAUUUCCGGGGUAGGGGUGGAAUCCUAUAAUCCCGGGAAGACCACCAGUGGCGAAGGCUGUCUGCUAGAACGCGCCCGACGGUGAGGGAUGAAAGCUGGGGGAGCGAACCGGAUUAGAUACCCGGGUAGUCCCAGCUGUAAACGAUGCAGGCUAGGUGUUUGGACGGCCACGUGCCGUUCUAGUGCCGCAGGGAAGCUGUUAAGCCUGCCGCCUGGGGAGUACGAUCGCAAGAUUGAAACUUAAAGGAAUUGGCGGGGGAGCACCACAAGGGGUGAAGCUUGCGGUUUAAUUGGAGUCAACGCCGGG
rnacentral:rRNA from 1 species